UACGUAGGGGGCAAGCGUUGUCCGGAUUUAUUGGGCGUAAAGAGCGUGUAGGCGGCCAGUUAGGUCCGUUGUGAAAACUCGAGGCUCAACCUCGAGACGCCGAUGGAAACCAACUGGCUAGAGUCCGGAAGAGGAGAGUGGAAUUCCCGGUGUAGCGGUGAAAUGCGCAGAUAUCGGGAGGAACACCAAUGGCGAAGGCAGCUCGCUGGGACGGUACUGACGCUGAGACGCGAAAGCGUGGGGAGCAAACAGG
rnacentral:rRNA from 1 species